UACAGAGGGGGCAAGCGUUAUUCGGAAUUAUUGGGCGUAAAGAGCUCGUAGGCGGCUUGUUGCGUCGGUUGUGAAAGCCCGGGGCUUAACCCCGGGUCUGCAGUCGAUACGGGCAGGCUAGAGUGUGGUAGGGGAGAUCGGAAUUCCUGGUGUAGCGGUGAAAUGCGCAGAUAUCAGGAGGAACACCGGUGGCGAAGGCGGAUCUCUGGGCCAUUACUGACGCUGAGGAGCGAAAGCGUGGGGAGCGAACAGG
rnacentral:rRNA from 1 species